GGCGGCGCGCCUAACACAUGCGAAGUCGAACGAGAGAUGAAGAGCUUGCUCUUACAAAUCGAGUGGCGAACGGGUGAGUAACGCGUGAGGAACCUGCCUCAAAGAGGGGGGACAACGGUUAGAAAUGACUGCUAAUACCGCAUAAGCGCACAGUACCGCAUGGUACGGUGUGAAAAACUCCGGUGGUAUGAGAUGGACCCGCGUCUGAUUAGCUAGUUGGUGAGGUAACGGCCCACCAAGGCGACGAUCAGUAGCCGACCUGAGAGGGUGACCGGCCACAUUGGGACUGAGACACGGCCCAGACUCCUACGGGAGGCAGCAGUGGGGGAUAUUGCACAAUGGAGGAAACUCUGAUGCAGCGACGCCGCGUGAGUGAAGAAGUAUUUCGGUAUGUAAAGCUCUAUCAGCAGGGAAGAAAAUGACGGUACCUGACUAAGAAGCCCCGGCUAACUACGUG
rnacentral:rRNA from 1 species